rnacentral:rRNA from 1 species
UGGGGAAUUUUGGACAAUGGGCGAAAGCCUGAUCCAGCAAUGCCGCGUGUGUGAAGAAGGCCUUCGGGUUGUAAAGCACUUUUGUCCGGAAAGAAAUCCUUGGCUCUAAUACAGUCGGGGGAUACGGUACCGGAAGAAUAAGCACCGGCUAACUACGUGCCAGCAGCCGCGGUAAUACGUAGGGUGCAAGCGUUAAUCGGAAUUACUGGGCGUAAAGCGUGCGCAGGCGGUUUGCUAAGACCGAUGUGAAAUCCCGGGCUCAACCUGGGAACUGCAUUGGUGACUGGCAGGCUAGAGUAUGGCAGAGGGGGGUAGAAUUCCACUGUAGCAGUGAAAUGCGUAGAGAUGUGGAGAAUACCGAUGGCGAAGGCAGCCCCCUGGGCCAAUACUGACGCUCAUGCACGAAAGCGU